AGAACGAACGCUGGCGGCAGGCUUAACACAUGCAAGUCGAACGCCCCUUCGGGGGAGUGGCAGACGGGUGAGUAACGCGUGGGAAUCUACCCAGCUCUACGGAAUAACUGAGGGAAACUUCAGCUAAUACCGUAUACGUCCUUCGGGAGAAAGAUUUAUCGGAGUUGGAUGAGCCCGCGUUGGAUUAGCUAGUUGGUGGGGUAAUGGCCUACCAAGGCGACGAUCCAUAGCUGGUCUGAGAGGAUGAUCAGCCACACUGGGACUGAGACACGGCCCAGACUCCUACGGGAGGCAGCAGUGGGGAAUAUUGGACAAUGGGCGCAAGCCUGAUCCAGCCAUGCCGCGUGAGUGAUGAAGGCCCUAGGGUUGUAAAGCUCUUUCAACGGUGAAGAUAAUGACGGUAACCGUAGAAGAAGCCCCGGCUAACUUCGUGCCAGCAGCCGCGGUAAUACGAAGGGGGCUAGCGUUGUUCGGAAUUACUGGGCGUAAAGCGCGCGUAGGCGGAUUGAUCAGUCAGGGGUGAAAUCCCGGGGCUCAACCCCGGAACUGCCUUUGAUACUGUCAAUCUAGAGGUCGAGAGAGGUGAGUGGAAUUCCGAGUGUAGAGGUGAAAUUCGUAGAUAUUCGGAGGAACACCAGUGGCGAAGGCUGGUCAUCGAGCUGAGCUCGAUUCUGACGCUG
rnacentral:rRNA from 1 species